GUGCUUGCUCCAGUAGCACAUACACUAAAAUUGGAAUGAGACAGAGAAGAUUACCAUGGCCCCUGCACAAGGAUGACCCACAAAUUUGUGAAGUGUUCCAUAUUUUU
ensembl:snRNA U6 U6 spliceosomal RNA